rnacentral:misc_RNA from 1 species
GACAGGUACGACAGGCCGAGCAGGUUUUCCGACAGCGCCUCGUCGGGCAGCACCAGUGCAUCGACGUCGCGCACGACGAGCCCGCCGAUAUCGACCAUGGCGAGGCGUGUGCGUGCAGCCUUGAUCGAACCGUUGGCGGUCGAAACAUUCGCGGUGUACUCACUGGGCCGCGGACGAAUGCCGAUCAGCGCCGCCGAACUCUCGUUC